CCUACGGGUGGCUGCAGUGGGGAAUAUUGGACAAUGGGGGGAACCCUGAUCCAGCCAUGCCGCGUGUGUGAAGAAGGCCCUCGGGUUGUAAAGCACUUUCAGUGAGGAAGAACGCCUGGUGGUUAAUACCCAUCAGGAAAGACAUCACUCACAGAAGAAGCACCGGCUAACUCCGUGCCAGCAGCCGCGGUAAUACGGAGGGUGCGAGCGUUAAUCGGAAUUACUGGGCGUAAAGCGCGCGUAGGUGGCUUGAUAAGCCGGUUGUGAAAGCCCCGGGCUCAACCUGGGAACGGCAUCCGGAACUGUCAAGCUAGAGUGCAGGAGAGGAAGGUAGAAUUCCCGGUGUAGCGGUGAAAUGCGUAGAGAUCGGGAGGAAUACCAGUGGCGAAGGCGGCCUUCUGGACUGACACUGACACUGAGGUGCGAAAUCGUGGGUAGCAAACAGGAUUAGAUACCCUAGUAGUC
rnacentral:rRNA from 1 species